GAUAGCCCAAAUCAAAAUAAAAUGAGGCUACCCUCAAAUUAUACCGCCUUCACCCAUCGUAUCUCUCCCUCAUUCACAUUCUUUAUUUUAAUUCUUCCCCAAAUUCACCUUCCAAUUGAAAUCCCUAAAAAAGGAAUAGAGAAGCCGACGCCUCUCUCCCCCACGCCUCUCUCUUCUCCGGCGUCGGCGUCGGCGUCUCUCUCCCUCACACCAGCUUCCCAAUUAACAUCAGUCUCAGCGUCGCAGCAAGGCACAAUACUGUAGUCGUGCCUCUCGGCCACCUCCCAAACCAAAUCCAUCUAUCUCUCUCGCUCGCUGGCUCUCUCUCCCUCGCCGCCCUUCGCGUUGCCCCGCCUGCACAGCCGCGUCGCUAGCGAGCGACGCCGACUCUUCUCUCUAUCUCUUUCCUCUCUCAUCGCUCUCUCUUUUCUUACGCCACAACCGCUGCUGCUUCCGAUUCCGCGCCGGCAAUGAUAUAAUCACUCUCCGGCUGUUAAAGAUUGGAUCUUUGGAUGAAUCUGGAGAUGGGCGAAGCAGCGGCUAGAAAUGCCAUGAUAGGGAGAUGGAGGUGGUGGGUCUGCACAGAUGCAGUCGGCACCGUCGGGCUUCUCUCUUCUCCAUUCCUAUUAUUUUUCUUCUUCUCACCGGUCUCCUUUAACAGCAAGCACAGUUUCUGUCCAAUGUUGGCAUAUUGAGAAAUGACAAAAAGGAUAAUCACAAUAGCUGCACACUUUCCCGCCAAAAAGGGUAAUAUUGACUUUUCAGCAAACUGUCACUUUAGAUUAGUAUAGAUUAUAGCAACAGUGUGCAGUGCGUGCAUGUUGUGCCACACGGUGAUGAAAUCAGCUUUGGUGAACAUAUAACGUCUUUCUCCCUCUCUCAAAAUUAAUUCUUUUAAAUUUGAUUUUCAUUAUCAUUCA